GUCGGAAUAGCCAUCAGCUGGUUAGAUCGUGGUGCUGAUAACGCCAAGGUUGCAGGUUCGAUGCCCGUAAGGGACA